rnacentral:rRNA from 1 species
UACGUAGGGUGCGAGCGUUAAUCGGAAUUACUGGGCGUAAAGCGUGCGCAGGCGGUCUGUUAAGACCGAUGUGAAAUCCCCGGGCUUAACCUGGGAAUUGCAUUUGUGACUGCCCGGCUAGAGUGUGUCAGAGGGGGGUAGAAUUCCACGUGUAGCAGUGAAAUGCGUAGAUAUGUGGAGGAAUACCGAUGGCGAAGGCAGCCCCCUGGGAUAACACUGACGCUCAUGCACGAAAGCGUGGGGAGCAAACAGG